UGGGGAAUAUUGGGCAAUGGGCGAAAGCCUGACCCAGCAACGCCGCGUGAAGGAAGAAGGUUUUCGGAUUGUAAACUUCUGUCAUAGGGGACGAAGGACGUGACGGUACCCUAUGAGGAAGCCCCGGCUAACUACGUGCCAGCAGCCGCGGUAAUACGUAGGGGGCGAGCGUUGUCCGGAAUUACUGGGCGUAAAGGGUGCGUAGGCGGCGAUGCAAGUCCAUUGUGAAAAGCCCGGGCUUAACCUGGGAGGUGCAGUGGAAACUGUAUGGCUUGAGUGCAGGAGAGGGAAGUGGAAUUCCUAGUGUAGCGGUGAAAUGCGUAGAUAUUAGGAGGAACACCAGUGGCGAAGGCGACUUUCUGGACUGUAACUGACGCUGAGGCACGAAAGCGUGGGGAGCAAACAGG
rnacentral:rRNA from 1 species